CUACGUGCCAGCAGCCGCGGUAAUACGGAAGGUCCGGGCGUUAUCCGGAUUUAUUGGGUUUAAAGGGAGCGUAGGCCGUGGAUUAAGCGUGUUGUGAAAUGCAGGUGCUCAACGUCUGCACUGCAGCGCGAACUGGUCCACUUGAGUGUGCACAACGCAGGCGGAAUUCGUCGUGUAGCGGUGAAAUGCUUAGAUAUGACGAAGAACUCCGAUUGCGAAGGCAGCUUGCGGGAGCACAACUGACGCUGAAGCUCGAAAGUGCGGGUAUCGAACAGGAUUAGAUACCCUGGUAGUCCAUGCCGUAAACGUUGGGCACUAGGUGUGGGGGACAUUCCACGUUUUCCGCGCCGUAGCUAACGCAUUAAGUGCCCCGCCUGGGGAGUACGGCCGCAAGGCUAAAACUCAAAGAAAUUGACGGGGGCCCGCACAAGCGGCGGAGCAUGCGGAUUAAUUCGAUGCAACGCGAAGAACCUUACCAAGGCUUGACAU
rnacentral:rRNA from 1 species